rnacentral:rRNA from 18 species
UUAAAUUGAAGAGUUUGAUCAUGGCUCAGAUUGAACGCUGGCGGCAGGCCUAACACAUGCAAGUCGAACGGUAACAGGAAGCAGCUUGCUGCUUUGCUGACGAGUGGCGGACGGGUGAGUAAUGUCUGGGAAACUGCCUGAUGGAGGGGG